rnacentral:tRNA from 1 species
CCCCCCUUAGCUUAGUAGCUAAAGCGUCCGGCUGUAGACCGGAAGAUCCCGGGUGCAUGUCCCGGAGGGGGGA